GGAUAUGUGGCUCAGUGGUAGAGCGUUCGCUUUACAUGUGAAAUGCCCCGGGUUUGAUCCCUGGCAUCUCCA
rnacentral:tRNA from 1 species